UUCGCCCUUAGAGUUUGAUCCUGGCUCAGGACGAACGCUGGCGGCGCGCCUAACACAUGCAAGUCGAACGGAGCUUAGAGAGCUUGCUUUUUAAGCUUAGUGGCGAACGGGUGAGUAACGCGUGAGUAACCUGCCCUAGAGUGGGGGACAACAGUUGGAAACGACUGCUAAUACCGCAUAAGCCCACGGUGCCGCAUGACACUGAGGGAAAAGGAUUUAUUCGCUUUAGGAUGGACUCGCGUCCAAUUAGCUAGUUGGUGAGGUAACGGCCCACCAAGGCGACGAUUGGUAGCCGGACUGAGAGGUUGAACGGCCACAUUGGGACUGAGACACGGCCCAGACUCCUACGGGAGGCAGCAGUGGGGGAUAUUGCACAAUGGGGGAAACCCUGAUGCAGCGACGCCGCGUGGAGGAAGAAGGUUUUCGGAUUGUAAACUCCUGUCGUUAGGGACGAUAAUGACGGUACCUAACAAGAAAGCACCGGCUAACUACGUGCCAGCAGCCGCGGUAAAACGUAGGGUGCAAGCGUUGUCCGGAAUUACUGGGUGUAAAGGGAGCGCAGGCGGGAAGACAAGUUGGAAGUGAAAACCAUGGGCUCAACCCAUGAAUUGCUUUCAAAAACUGUUUUUCUUGAGUAGGGCAAGAAGGUAAGAUGGGAAUUCCCCGGUGUAGCGGGGGGAAUGCGUAGAUAUCGGGGAGGAACACCAGUGGCGAAGGCGGUGUCUUGGGCACCAAUUGACGUUGAGGCUCGAAAGCAUGGGUAGCAAACAGGGAUUAGAUACCCUGGUAGUCCAUGCCGUAAACGAUGAUUACUAGGUGUUGGGGGAUUGACCCCCUCAGUGCCGCAGUUAACACAAUAAGUAAUCCACCUGGGGAGUACGACCGCAAGGUUGAAACUCAAAGGAAUUGACGGGGGCCCGCACAAGCAGUGGAGUAUGUGGUUUAAUUCGAAGCAACGCGAAGAACCUUACCAGGUCUUGACAUCCGAUGCAUAGCACAGAGAUGUGUGAAAUCCUUCGGGACAUCGAGACAGGUGGUGCAUGGUUGUCGUCAGCUCGUGUCGUGAGAUGUUGGGUUAAGUCCCGCAACGAGCGCAACCCUUAUUGCCAGUUACUACGUUAAGAGGACUCUGGCGAGACUGCCGUUGACAAAACGGAGGAAGGUGGGGAUGACGUCAAAUCAUCAUGCCCUUUAUGACCUGGGCUACACACGUACUACAAUGGCGUUAAACAAAGAGAAGCAAGACCGCGAGGUGGAGCAAAACUCAAAAACAACGUCUCAGUUCAGAUUGCAGGCUGCAACUCGCCUGCAUGAAGUCGGAAUUGCUAGUAAUCGCGGAUCAGCAUGCCGCGGUGAAUACGUUCCCGGGCCUUGUACACACCGCCCGUCA
rnacentral:rRNA from 1 species